UUUCUUUUUCAGCAUCACUACAGUGACAAGGCUUUUCAAAUCAGGAGGGUUUUGUUUCUUCUUCGUUCAUCUUCUAUUCUAUCUGCAGCGCCUGGUCCCUCUCAGGCCGCGCCAGCAGUCGCCAGCUCCCAACGACGCCGCCACCACUGCAGCCGUGAAACCAGUGGUCGCCGUCCAGGUUGGCCCUCCGUUUUCGUUUCUCACAUCAAAUCAGUGACUUAGUUUUUGAUUUUUCGGGGUUGAUUUUUAAUGUUUGGCACUCCGAAUCUUAUCCUUAAAUUUGAGCUGACUCUGAUUCGGUGCUCUGAAAUUUUGAUUUCAUUCUGAUUUUGUUUGGUGACCAAUCCAUGUCAGCUUUGAUCAUGGACUCUUGCAUAUUAUUAUAGACUCAUACUGUCAUUUGCAUUGCAACUUGCUGCUUAUAAGAUUUUAUGUAGAUUGCAGAGCUUAUAUUAUAAUCCAAUUUCAUGUUAGUCCAACUCUCAAGGUUCAUCUAUAUCUGGAAAUAAAGAAAAAGCUUAAACACCAGAGGCAAUUCUUAUAGUAUUUUUACGAGGUGUUUUUGCCUCGUGUGUAGUUAAGUUUGAGUUACUCUUCAGCAGAGAAAUUGUCUUUUUCUCUCCUAUUUCGCCGCAGGUUUGUGCAGGAAACGCUGUUACUACCGCUAACUGUAUCAUCAGUACAAAUAAAAGGAUCAGAAAGCAUUAUUUAGGAAUUUCUGUUUGCACACAUUUGGCAGUUUUCUUUUUAUUAUUUUUCAAUCGUUAAACGUCAUGCACCGAAGAGCCCCAUUCCCUCGUCUCCUUCUCGAUAAUGUCGCAUGUAUGAGAAAUGCACAGCAAGUUCUGCGUCAUGUGAAUGUGUCUCUUCAUGAUGGAGGGGCGCUUGUGCUAACAGGCGCAAAUGGCUCGGGGAAGACAACUUUCCUGCGUAUGUUAGCUGGGUUUUCUCGUCCUUCUGCUGGCCAAAUCCUUUGGAAUGGCCAUGACAUACAACAAUCUGCAAUAUACCAUCAAUAUAAGCUUCAACUUAACUGGCUCUCUCUCAAGGACGCCAUUAAUGAUAAGUUCACAGUUCUCAACAAUGUACAAUGGUUUGAAGUUCUUGAGUACAAGGAAGGGAAGGCUUUGGCUGCUGUGGAGUUGAUGGGACUAGGAAGAUUAGCUAAUGAAAAACCAAGGAUGCUUUCUAUGGGCCAGCGUAAAAGACUACAACUUGCCAGGUUGCUCGCAAUUGAUCGACCCAUAUGGUUGCUAGACGAGCCUUCGGUUGCAUUAGACGAUGAAGGAGUAAAGUUGCUUGAGUAUAUCAUUGCAGAACAUAGGAAACACGGAGGAAUUGUGAUAGUGGCGACUCAUCUACCCAUUGAGAUAGAAGAUUCCAUGGUUUUGAAACUUCCACCAAGGUUUCCCAGGAGGAUGACCCAUGCGGAUAUGCUUGAUCGGGCGGAUAUCAGUUAAGGGCCUUUUUGGAUGCUUCUUCUCGGGGCUUCUCUACUCACAUAAGUUCUUUGUUGUUUAAAAAUGAGCAUUUGAGAAUGCAAUUGGAUAUGGUUUUCCAAUAAGCACGUUUUAGCUCUAUCUUGACUUGGAGUGAUACAUGCAUGAUUUUUCCUUGUUUAUAAAGGCAGGUCGGGAAAAUUGCUCAUGCUUUCUCAAUACAGGACUGAGGUUAAGCCUUUAACCUUUGACUCUACUGGGGCCUCUUCCUCAGUUGGCAUCUGGAACCUGAAUCCGCUCAUUGCGCUUGUUCAACUUAUCAACAGUAUGAGGGUGUUGAUCCUCUAAUUCUUUGGCUCUAGCAUCCUUAAUCUCCAUAUCUACAAAAUCCUUCUGCUCAACAGAUAACAGUGGUCGUUUACUGGUAUAAAACUAAAGUAGAUUGGUCAACAGGUUUCCCAGAUUUAGAAUACCUAUCAUUAUUUCCUUGAACUUUAAGGAAGAUGAUGACUUGCUACUGAUACUGAAAUCCCUUUCCUUAUUAUAGCUUGUCCAGCCUUCAUAUUAAGAACGUCCUAGUUGAUGAUGUUGCUGUGCAUCAUCUGAGUUGGCUUCUCCAUUUUCCCUGUGCGUGCUCUUGCAGACACACC